rnacentral:rRNA from 1 species
CAGUAGCCACGGGAACACGAAGGGGGCUAGCGUUGCUCGGAAUGACUGGGCGUAAAGGGCGCGUAGGCGGUUUUGACAGUCAGAUGUGAAAUUCCUGGGCUUAACCUGGGGGCUGCAUUUGAGACGUCAAGACUAGAGUGUGAGAGAGGGUUGUGGAAUUCCCAGUGUAGAGGUGAAAUUCGUAGAUAUUGGGAAGAACACCGGUGGCGAAGGCGGCAACCUGGCUCAUUACUGACGCUGAGGCGCGAAAGCGUGGGGAGCAAACAGGAUUAGAUACCCCCGUAGUCCCUGUCUCUUAUAC